rnacentral:piRNA from 1 species
UAAGCACUGUUGGUGAUAUGUUCUUGUUUU